rnacentral:rRNA from 1 species
GACGAACGCUGGCGGCGUGCUUAACACAUGCAAGUCGAACGGAAAGGCCUCUUUCGGGGGGUACUCGAGUGGCGAACGGGUGAGUAACACGUGAGUAACCUGCCCUUGACUUUGGGAUAACUUCAGGAAACUGGGGCUAAUACCGGAUAGGAGCUCCUGCUGCAUGGUGGGGGUUGGAAAGCUUCGGCGGUUGGGGAUGGACUCGCGGCUUAUCAGCUUGUUGGUGGGGUAGUGGCUUACCAAGGCUUUGACGGGUAGCCGGCCUGAGAGGGUGACCGGCCACAUUGGGACUGAGAUACGGCCCAGACUCCUACGGGAGGCAGCAGUGGGGAAUAUUGCACAAUGGGUGGAAGCCUGAUGCAGCAACGCCGUGUGCGGGAUGACGGCCUUCGGGUUGUAAACCGCUUUCGCUCAUGACGAAGCUUUGUGUGACGGUAGUGGGUAAAGAAGCACCGGCUAACUACGUG